UGCGCGGCCCAAACCGUGAUCGGUGAUCGUGCGCUGCUCCUUGGGGCAUGACUGUGCGGCUGAACGGUGGGCCCAGUCCGCCAGUCUCCACAAUGCUGCACGGAUCCCGCCUUGCCUGGAAUUCCUCCUUGAGCUACCCGGCAACAACCUGGCUGAGCCUUUCAUCGCGCUUCGCGCCACACCCAGGCCCUCCGCUGGGAGGCCUACAUUGGUGCCAAACCCUGCCCCCUCCGUGACUACCAGAAAGGCAAGACCCUAGCCGCCGUUCUGCAUACGCCGAGGAAGAACCGCCGCGGUCUAGGGUGGCGCGGCGACUUCUGGGAAUUGCCUCGUUGAGGAUUGGG
rnacentral:lncRNA from 7 species